UACAGAUGUCUCAAGCGUUGUUCGGAUUCAUUGGGCGUAAAGGGUGCGUAGGCGGCGCGGUAAGUCGGGUGCGAAAUCUCGGAGCUUAACUCCGAAACUGCAUUCGAUACUGCCGUGCUUGAGGACUGGAGAGGAGACUGGAAUUUACGGUGUAGCGGUGAAAUGCGUAGAUAUCGUAAGGAAGACCAGUGGCGAAGGCGGGUCUCUGGACAGUUCCUGACGCUGAGGCACGAAGGCCAGGGGAGCAAACGGG
rnacentral:rRNA from 1 species